rnacentral:lncRNA from 13 species
UUAAGAUCUGAAUCAAAUAGCCAAUAUAAUAGAGGUUUUGGUGAGUCGCUCUUUUCAGGUCCAGUAGCUGCUUGCCUGAUCUCACCUUUUCAACGAAUUCUGGGGCCAAAGCUCCUGACCUAGCCGGUCCUUGAGCACUUCAUAGUCACCACUCCCCCUGUUGAUGAAGAGCAGGAUGUCACCCCUUCACCUCUGACUGGUACAGACCCACUGCUGUCUGUCUGUCUGUGUGAGAGUGUGAGAGAGAGAGGGAGAGAAAACGAGAGAGAGAGCUAGCGACAAAGAGAAAGACAAAAGUAUGGGAAAUAGAUAUCAAAAUAGGCAUGUGCCAGUACAUUAACUGUCUGUAUGUAUAGUCUGGUUAUAUGACUGAACAUGACAGGCUAAUAAUACAAAGAUGUGAUGCCAAGGUGUAGUUUUAACCAGGCUGGUUUAAAUCUUGCUGUCCAGGUAUUUGUAAUGCGAGUCAAGCAGGUGAUUUCUGAUGGAAUUUUUGGACGGUUGCAUCUGGCGAGUCAUUGUGGCUGGUUGCUUCUAAUGCAGAGGCACGCGAGCCGGUUGCUUCACCUAAGGUAUUUGCGCCAGUCGUCACACUUGCUGAGGCAUUGUGGCUGGUUGCUUCUGCCGAGGCAUUGUGGCCAGUCGUGGCGCUUGAUGAAGCAUUGUGGCCAGUUGCUUCAGCUAAUGUAUUUGGGCCAGUCGUGACGCUUGCAGAAGCAUUGUGGGUGGCUGCUUCUGAGGCACGGGAUCCGGUUGCUCCACCUAAGGUAUUUGGGCCAGUCGUGACGCUUGAUGAAGCGUUGUGGCCUGUUGCUUCAAAGGUAUUUU